rnacentral:lncRNA from 1 species
CAGGAAGCUGCUGAUCACCAGCUUCAGGUGUUUCUACUAAUUGGGAGACUGUCUUUCCCUGGCACCAGCUGCAACCAAUUAUUACUUUAGAGAGACAGUUUAACAACUGCCUGACCAUCACCUGAUGGUCAUCUGACAUUCCCAAUAAGAGCCCAGGCCAAAGGACACCUUGAUUUUGACCUUGUCAGACCUGGAGUUGAAAAACCAGCUGCACUCUUCUAGAAUUCUUACUUACAAAACUGGAGAUGUUACAAGACAAGAUGAUUUCACUGGGAGCUGAGUUUUGCCAGAUUUGGGGAAAUACUGAUGCAGAACAUCAUUUAUUUAAGGCUGAUACUCAUGGAUAGAAGAGUCAAAGUGAGAAUAUAUGCACCCUUCUAUAUGGAUUCUGCAGAAAGAUAUGCUUGGGUCAUGACUCAGACAAUUUGGAGAGAAUUCCCUGAAACAUUCACUGUACAACUCUACUUUCUUGAAUACUUACUAUAAUUAAAGUUCAUUUCUGAUUUACAUAAAGA